UAUAAAGGAACUUCUACUAAAAACCGCCACGUCCUGUGGCAACGUAGAAGUCAGCACAUCCUGUGCA
rnacentral:sRNA from 1 species